CUGCCCAGUGACUCAAAAAGUUCAACGGCCGCGGUAUCCUAACCGUGCAAAGGUAGCAUAAUCACUUGCCCAUUAAUUGUGGGCUAGAAUGAAAGGACCAACGAAAUAGAUACUGUCUCUAUAAGUAUAGUAAAAAUUAAUCUCUAACUGAAGAUUGUUAGAUUCCGUCGAAGGACAAGAAGACCCUAUAGAGCUUUAUUUAAUAAAAGAUAAAUCACUUUUUUAUAAUUCGGUUGGGGCGACCGGGGAAGUAAUAAAUCAUCCCCUACAACCAGAUAACUAAAUCUAAUAUAUGACCCUUAAAAAAGAUCACAAGAACAAGCUACCUUAGGGAUAACAGGCUAAUCCUAUUAAAGAGUCCUUAUCGAUAAUAGGGUUUGGCACCUCGAUGUUGGCUUAGGGAAUCUAUAUGACGCAAAAGUCAUAUAAAGAUGGUUUGUUCAACCAAUAAUACCCUACGUGA
rnacentral:rRNA from 1 species